rnacentral:rRNA from 1 species
CGGGACACGUGGUAUCCUGUCUGAAUAUGGGGGGACCAUCCUCCAAGGCUAAAUACUCCUGACUGACCGAUAGUGAACCAGUACCGUGAGGGAAAGGCGAAAAGAACCCCGGCGAGGGGAGUGAAAAAGAACCUGAAACCGUGUACGUACAAGCAGUGGGAGCACGCUUAGGCGUGUGACUGCGUACCUUUUGUAUAAUGGGUCAGCGACUUAUAUUCUGUAGCAAGGUUAACCGAAUAGGGGAGCCGAAGGGAAACCGAGUCUUAACUGGGCGUUAAGUUGCAGGGUAUAGACCCGAAACCCGGUGAUCUAGCCAUGGGCAGGUUGAAGGUUGGGUAACACUAACUGGAGGACCGAACCGACUAAUGUUGAAAAAUUAGCGGAUGACUUGUGGCUGGGGGUGAAAGGCCAAUCAAACCGGGAGAUAGCUGGUUCUCCCCGAAAGCUAUUUAGGUAGCGCCUCGUGAAUUCAUCUCCGGGGGUAGAGCACUGUUUCGGCAAGGGGGUCAUCCCGACUUACCAACCCGAUGCAAACUGCGAAUACCGGAGAAUGUUAUCACGGGAGACACACGGCGGGUGCUAACGUCCGUCGUGAAGAGGGAAACAACCCAGACCGCCAGCUAAGGUCCCAAAGUCAUGGUUAAGUGGGAAACGAUGUGGGAAGGCCCAGACAGCCAGGAUGUUGGCUUAGAAGCAGCCAUCAUUUAAAGAAAGCGUAAUAGCUCACUGGUCGAGUCGGCCUGCGCGGAAGAUGUAACGGGGCUAAACCAUGCACCGAAGCUGCGGCAGCGACGCUUAUGCGUUGUUGGGUAGGGGAGCGUUCUGUAAGCCUGUGAAGGUGUGCUGUGAGGCAUGCUGGAGGUAUCAGAAGUGCGAAUGCUGACAUAAGUAACGAUAAAGCGGGUGAAAAGCCCGCUCGCCGGAAGACCAAGGGUUCCUGUCCAACGUUAAUCGGGGCAGGGUGAGUCGACCCCUAAGGCGAGGCCGAAAGGCGUAGUCGAUGGGAAACAGGUUAAUAUUCCUGUACUUGGUGUUACUGCGAAGGGGGGACGGAGAAGGCUAUGUUGGCCGGGCGACGGUUGUCCCGGUUUAAGCGUGUAGGCUGGUUUUCCAGGCAAAUCCGGAAAAUCAAGGCUGAGGCGUGAUGACGAGGCACUACGGUGCUGAAGCAACAAAUGCCCUGCUUCCAGGAAAAGCCUCUAAGCAUCAGGUAACAUCAAAUCGUACCCCAAACCGACACAGGUGGUCAGGUA